UUUUGAAGGUACAUAACCAGAAGUUGUUAGUGAGAAAAAGUUUCUAUAACGACGAGAAAUAGAUUAAAAACCAGUAAGAAGGUUACGGGGGCGUUGGCGAGCACGUGACGUGGCACCAGGUUCUCCAGUGUGUAGGUGCCAUUACGUCACUGUCGUUCCUCACCUUGCGACCCGGAGAGAAGAAGAAGAAGCUGCACGUGCUGGAAGUCCAGGUCACAAAUCAGCUGGUCCUCGUAGCUCUGAAGGAACCUCCAGGAGAAGAAGAAGUCCACUUGUCUUGCCUCUCGUCCCCGUUACGGCUCUGCGGGUCGAGCACGUUGGACUCUGGACCG